UACGUAGGGGGCUAGCGUUGUCCGGAAUCAUUGGGCGUAAAGCGCGCGUAGGCGGCCCGGUAAGUCCGCUGUGAAAGUCCAGGGCUCAACCCUGGAACGCCGGUGGAUACUGUCGGGCUUGAGUACGGAAGAGGCGAGUGGAAUUCCUGGUGUAGCGGUGAAAUGCGCAGAUAUCAGGAGGAACACCAAUUGCGAAGGCAGCUCGCUGGGACGUUACUGACGCUGAGACGCGAAAGCGUGGGGAGCAAACAGG
rnacentral:rRNA from 1 species